rnacentral:snRNA from 1 species
AUGGAAAUGCUUUUAUAGAAUAUA